rnacentral:rRNA from 1 species
GACGGGGGGUCCAAGCGUUGUUCGGAAUCAUUGGGCGUAAAGCGUGUGCAGGUGGUCUUGUAAGUUGGAUGUGAAAGCCCCGGGCUUAACCCGGGAAGUGCAUUCAAAACUGCAAGACUUGAGUAUGGAAGAGGGUCGUGGAAUUCCAGGUGUAGUGGUGAAAUACGUAGAUAUCUGGAGGAACACCGGUGGCGAAGGCGGCGACCUGGUCCUAUACUGACACUCAUACACGAAAGCGUGGGGAUCAAACAGG